rnacentral:rRNA from 1 species
CGGGUGAGUAAUGUCUGGGAAACUGCCUGAUGGAGGGGGAUAACUACUGGAAACGGUAGCUAAUACCGCAUAACGUCGCAAGACCAAAGAGGGGGACCUUCGGGCCUCUUGCCAUCGGAUGUGCCCAGAUAGGAUUAGCUAGUAGGUGGGGUAACGGCUCACCUAGGCGACGAUCCCUAGCUGGUCUGAGAGGAUGACCAGCCACACUGGAACUGAGACACGGUCCAG